CUACGGGAGGCAGCAGUGGGGAAUAUUGCACAAUGGGCGCAAGCCUGAUGCAGCGACGCCGCGUGGGGGAUGACGGCCUUCGGGUUGUAAACCUCUUUCAGUACCGACGAAGCGUAAGUGACGGUAGGUACAGAAGAAGCACCUGCCAACUACGGGCCAGCAGCCGCGGUAAUACGUAGGGUGCGAGCGUUGUCCGGAAUUACUGGGCGUAAAGAGCUCGUAGGUGGUUUGUCGCGUUGUCCGUGAAAUCUCACAGCUUAACUGUGAGCGUGCGGGCGAUACGGGCAGACUGGAGUACUGCAGGGGAGACUGGAAUUCCUGGUGUAGCGGUGGAAUGCGCAGAUAUCAGGAGGAACACCGGUGGCGAAGGCGGGUCUCUGGGCAGUAACUGACGCUGAGGAGCGAAAGCGUGGGGAGCGAACAGGAUUAGAUACCCGUGUAGUCC
rnacentral:rRNA from 1 species